rnacentral:rRNA from 1 species
GUGCCAGCAGCCGCGGUAAUACGGAGGGUGCAAGCGUUAAUCGGAAUUACUGGGCGUAAAGCGCACGCACGCGGUUUGUUAAGUCAGAUGUGAAAUCCCCGGGCUCAACCUGGGAACUGCAUCUGAUACUGGCAAGCUUGAGUCUCGUAGAGGGGGGUAGAAUUCCAGGUGUAGCGCUGAAAUGCGUAGAGAUCUGGAGGAAUACCGGCGGCGAAGGCAGCCCCCUGUACGAAGACUGACGCUCAGGUGCGACAGCGUGGGGAGCAAACAGGAUUAGAUACCAUGGUAGUCC